rnacentral:rRNA from 1 species
CCUACGGGGGGCUGCAGUGGGGAAUAUUGCACAAUGGGGGAAACCCUGAUGCAGCAACGCCGCGUGAGCGAUGAAGGCCUUCGGGUCGUAAAGCUCUGUACUAAGGGAAGAAUACUGACGGUAACCUAGGAGGAAGCCCCGGCUAACUACGUGCCAGCAGCCGCCGUAAUACGUAUGGGGCUAGCGUUAUCCGGAAUUACUGGGUGUAAAGGCUGGAUAGGCGGCCAUUCAAGUCAGAGGUUAAAGGGUACGGAUCAACCGUAGUAAGCCUUUGAAACUGUAGGGCUUGAGUGCAGUAGAUGAGAGUGGAAUGCCCAGUGUAGCGGUGAAAUGCGUAGAUAUUGUGAGGAACACCAGUUGCGAAGCCUGCUCUAUGGACUGUAACUGACGCUGAGGCACGAAAGCGUGGGGAGCGAACAGGAUUAGAUACCCUAGUAGUC